CCAGAGAUUCUAGUUCUCUGAACACAAAUGAAGGUCUCUCACCAUUCUUGUCAGGAGACUUUCUAAUGCACCGAGCAGAGCUAACCACGCUGAAGACUCACUCUCCUGGACUACCCACACCUUUUUCCAGGUGUGUAUGGUCUUUUUCUGAGGAAUAUGGAGCACAGCUUCUGUCUGCAGCCUCUGGCUCUGCUCUCCCUGCUUGUGAGCCUAGAGCAGAGCCAAGUCAGUUCCUGGCUGCUCUUCCUCAGUGUGGCCAUCAGUGAUGCUUGGUGCAUGAACAAGGGGAAAACUUGGAGUCUGGUGCUGACUCCCAGAAAAAAAUGUGUUUUCUGUCCCGUUUCUGAAGGGAUGAAACCUGAGGUCAGUCCUUAUACAGGCUUGUGCCCGAAUUGAGGAUACCCCAGAGCCACUCCCCUCCCCAAACUGUGUGUAAUAACAAGUCCUGAUAACUGCUUCACUUAGCAAAACUGCAGCUUGUGUUAGCCUGUGAAUAACAGCCCUUGUCAUUUACUGGCAAUUAAUUAAGUCCUGGAGUCUUGCCGUGUAUCCUGUGUUUACCAGAAUCUCUUACAAAUAUCCCUCACCUACCUUUUGUCAACCCAUGCAUUGUGCUCUGAAAGCCCUGUGUGCACUGAAUAAGUUCUGAGGAGAUUGGCUCACAUUUCAAGGUAAAGAAAUAUGGGCUCUGCUCUUUAGAGUUAAAGCCUCCAGGGAUCUGAAAACUCUUCCCUUGAGUUUACAGAACUUUAUUGUUCUAUAUCCUCAGCAUCCAUCCUGCACAUACAAUAUUCAGAGACCUCCCUGCAAGAAUGCCCAGCUCUGCCAGCAUAUUUGGGCAUUGCCUUUCUCUUGGGAAGCUCUGCUCUGCAUGACAAAAUUAAAUGCACCUGGAAACAUAAAAUGAGAGCCUUGGAAAUGGACAACGUGAGUAACAGGAGUGCCAGAAGAUUGAUGUAGAAUUGAGUUACCAUCACUGAUAUCAAUCAUUUCCCUACCAUGCUUCACAGAACCUAAAACCACAAUGAAGUUAGAGGGGAAUGCACAUUCUCACAGUGCAGAUAUAUUUCACCAGUGCAACUUUAUCAUAUCAAAACUCACGACAAAUUUGCAGGUGUUGACUCCCUGGUCGGGCAUUUCCAGCUCAGCACCUACCUGGGUGUUCUGCAGCAUUAUUCCCUGUAUCAAUCCUUGUCUGAUCAAACUGAUGCCCUUUUGAAAUCGAUGGAGUUAAGUCAUUUCACAUUGCCCAAGGAUCUGUUCUACUGUGGAAAUACUUCCUUUUCUGUCACCUGGUGUUUUCAUCUGGCUUGGAGGUGAGUUUGAAGGCUACAAUAUACUUUUAUCUUUUAAAUCAGCUGCUGAUGCAUUAAAAAAGGGUGAGAUAAUCUCUUCUCUUAUCAUCUUUACAAAAAAGAUCCAGUCUUUUCUUUGAAACUCCCCAAAACUGGGAGUCCACAACUUCUCAGUGCUCCUGGGUACUUUCUGAGAGAUUACUCAAGCCAACUUCAUGUGUUUAGCACAGAGAUGUGGGAAGAUCACACAUCUUUCAUCUGGGCCUGUGAAAUUUUGCACAGAAACUUUAUUUCU